rfam:Pseudogymnoascus verrucosus strain TAMH 10579 unplaced genomic scaffold scaffold_25, whole genome shotgun sequence.
UCUUUGAUGGUCUAACGGUCAUGAUUUCCGCUUGUCAUAUAACAAAGCGCGGGAGACCGGGGUUCGACUCCCCGUCAGAGAG